CGAGACAUUAGCAGAGGGUGAAUGCAAGACAUUAGCAUAGCGUGAAUGCGAGACAUUAGCAGAGGGUGAAUGCGAGACAUUAGCAUAGCGUGAAUGCGAGACAUUAGCAGAGUGUGAAUGCGAGACAUUAGCAUAGGGUGAAUGCGAGACAUUAGCAGAGGGUGAAUGCGAGACAUUAGCAUAGCGUGAAUGCGAGACAUUAGCAGAGGGUGAAUGCGAGACAUUAGCAUAGGGUGAAUGCGAGACAUUAGCAUAGGGUGAAUGCGAGACAUUAGCAUAGCGUGAAUGCGAGACAUUAGCAUAGGGUGAAUGCGAGACAUUAGCAGAGGGUGAAUGCGAGACAUUAGCAUAGCGUGAAUGCGAGACAUUAGCAUAGGGUGAAUGCGAGACAUUAGCAUAGGGUGAAUGCGAGACAUUAGCAGAGGGUGAAUGCGAGACAUUAGCAUAGGGUGAAU